CAGGUGCUGGCCCUUUGCCUGUGAUGUGGUGUCCCUCUUUCUCUCUCUUGUCCCCCCAGCUCAGGGCCCUACCCCCAGCACUCACCUGAGGCCCGACCUCCAAGCAGGCCUGGGAGGGAAGGGCUGUAUACCGUUGCCAUGGAUACCAGCACCCAGAAGGGGUGGGGCUGUUUGUUACCAGGAGCCUCCAGGGAGACCCCAGACCAGGCCCCUAGAGACAGGGUCUUGCUCCGCUGUCCAGGCUGGAAUGCUUCGGUGUGAUGACAGCGCACGUUAACCUCGAAUUCCUGGGCUCAGGUGAUCCUCCCACUUCCGCCUCCUGACUUGCUGAAACUACAGGCACCCGCCUCCACCGCCAGGCCCAGCCCACAGCUCCUUUGACCUCAGUGACAGGCACUCACCUACCUGACCCCCAAACUGAAGCCUCACUUUUCCCAGCCGUGUCCACACCCUCUGGGCUACCCCAUUACCAUGACAAGUAUUCCCUCUGCUCCAGGAGAAAAGCCAGGUCCCAGACCUGACCCAUUAAAACCCAAUCAUUCC
rnacentral:lncRNA from 1 species